ensembl:lncRNA
GACAAAUUUCGCGAGACCUUUAUUAAGGGCCUUCAGCAAAGUGAUGAUACCGCGAGAGCUGACAUGUGACGUAAUUAAAACGCGCGAACGGAAGUGGCGCAGAGCACGAUGGAAUCUCAGUACGGUUGGUCCUUUAGGAACCAGCGGGAAAGAUAAAAGCUACAGUUUCAGCCUUGCUGGGUGAAGUAUGUUUUGACCCCGCUCCCUUUUCUGUCAGAGACCUGCAGAUGGACGGGGUAGUAUUGGAUUGAGUUUUUGUGAUGAAGCUUACUAUGCAGUUUCACUCCUAAGCUAAACUGCACUAUUUCUUCAAAAGCCUAGGAAAAUGUAUUUUGUGUUUGGAGGGAAGCGAUUGCUACUGUUACUUUGAGCCAGUCCCUGAUGCUAUCAGAGAUUCUAAAGAAAAUAAUACACAGCGAGCCAGCGUAUGUAACCUGAAUAAUACAAUAUAGGCUCACGAACAGAAGUUAAUUUUAGCUACUACUCCUAAGAGAAUGAAGUUGGCCUAGUUGAAUUUGAUGAGGUUCACUAUUAUGUGACCAAGAAGGACAUAAUAAAUCAUGGCAUUUGAAGAACAUCCUGAGUUCAAAGGUGAAAUGCUGGGCUGGAUAAAUCACAAGCUGGAAUCAAGAUUGCUGUAUCUGAAAGGAGCUAGAGAGCCUCUUUUGGAGAAGGCAAUGGCAACCCACUCCAGUACCCUUGCCUGGAAAAUCCUGUGGAUGGAGCAGCCUGGUAAGCUGCAGCCCAUGGGGUAACGAAGAGUCAGACACGACUGAACAACUUCACUUUCACUUUUCACUUUCAUGCAUUAGAGAAGGAAAUGGCAACCCACUCCAGUGUUCUUGCCUUGAGAAUCCUGGGGACAGUGGAGCUUGGUGGGCUGCCGUCUAUGGCGUCGCACAGAGUCGAACUUGACUGAAGCAACUUAGCAGCAGCAGCAGCAGAGAGCCUCUUGCUGAGGGUGAAAGAGGAGAGUGAAAAAGUUGGCUUGAAAAUCAACACUCAAAAAACUAAGAUCAUGGUAUCUUGUCUCAUUACUUCAUGGCAAAUAGAAGGGGGAAAAGUGGAAGCAGUGACAGACUUUAUUUUCUUGAGCUCCCAAAUCACUGCAGAUGGUGACUGCAGCCAUGAAAUUAAAAGACACUUGCUCCUUGGAGGAAAAGCUGUGAUAAACCUGGACAGUGUAUUAAAAAGCAGAGACAUUACCUUGGCGACAAAGGUCCAGAUAGCCAAAGCUAUGGUUUUUUCCAGUCAGUUCAGUUCAGUCCCUCAGUCAUGUCCCAUGGACUGCAACACCCAUGGACUGCAGCAUGCCGGGCCUCCUUGUCCAUCACCAAUUCCCUGAGUUUACUCAAACUCAUGUCCAUUGAGUCGGUGAUGCCAUCCAAUAGUCAUGUACAAAUGUGAGCGUUGGACCAUAAAGAAGGUUGAGGAUAGAAGAUUUGAUGCUUUCAAACUGUGGUGCUGGAGGAGAGUCUUGAGAGUCCCUUGGACUGCAAGGAGAUCAAACCAGUCCAUCUUUAAGGAAAUCAACCCUGAAUUGAAAGGACUGAUGCUGAAGCUGUGGCUCCAGUACUUUGACCACCUGAUGCAUAAAGCCUGCUCAUUGGAAAAGACCCUGAUGCUGGGAAAGAUUGAAGGCAGAAGGAGAAGACAACAGAGGAUGAUAGAAAGCAUCACUGACUCAAUGGACGUGAAUCCGAGCAAACUCCAGGAGAGAGUGGAGGACAGGGGAGCCUGGCAUGAUGCAGUCCAUGGGGUCACAAAGACUUGGACAUGACUUAGCCACUGAACAACUAAAGAACCAAAACUCUGAUUUUAAAUUUUAAUCCCUUUCCCCCUAAUUCUCUGCAUCUUUAAUUUCUACUUUUAUUUUUAUCUCCAUUUUUAGUGCUUGC